rnacentral:lncRNA from 1 species
AAGGAACAAGAAUCAGCAGCCGCAAGAGGAGGGGAGAUAGAGAGCACGGCUGGAAAAAUUCUGAGGCAAAACAGAAAUCAGAGAGAAUAGGCAUCAAGGAUGGCUGCAAAACUUAAGGAAAAACAGAGGAAGGAAAUGGAGGAGCUGGGUUUCGGGCAGACAAAGGAGAAGAAAUAAGAAAGGGGGAGGAAAAGAGUGGAACGGCAAAAAGAAAAGGAGAAGAAAGAGAGAGGCGACGGACAGCAAAGAAAAACAAGAGAGCUAACGGCUGAGUGAGUAAAAGGGAGAGCUUUGAGAGUUUUGGAAGGAGGUGACGGCUGAAAUCUGGAAAAAGAAAGGAAAGCCAGAGAAAGGAGUGGACGGCUGGUGAGGAAGAAGGCUAGAGUUUUGAGAGAGGUGGGCUGUGAGGAACAGAAAACUGGAGAGCUUUCGGGCAGAGUAAGGAACCGUGAGUGAAGGAAAGCCAGACAGAGAGAAACUAGAACAAGGAGAAGAGGAUCUGCGGCCCAUUGCCCUCAGAUUGUGGUGGAUUCCAGUCAGUUACUCCAAAGUCCUAUCAAAAUCCAGUUCUUGUAGCAGCAAAACAGGUAAUCCUCAACCUCUUCCCGUAUGAAAAAUCCAGUUCUUGCAUGAUUGUGUUUUGGCCGAGAGAAAAUGGUUAAAGUUUCCAACUUUGGUUGGUGGUUCGUCUUAGGUUGAGUUUUGGGUUGCAAGACUAGAUUUUUCUUGUAAGUUAGUGUCAUAGAUUCUCAUUUUAAGUAUUGCUGCUGUCCAUGUGAGGAACAAGAACCAAACCAGAAAAUGGAGUGCUUCUUCGGCAAGUUGAAUUUCUGACUUUUAAUUCGUUGAUUUCCUUUUUCGUUCUGUGAGUUUGUAAGCUGUUUUUGGGUAGUUAUAGGUAUAAAAUGCAUGUUUUGUAUGUUUGGGGGCUGAAACACUUGAAUUAAGAUCAAAUGCUUGCUGAAAAUGAUCAUUUCAGGUUGCUGAACCACCUUUGCACACAUAUUUUUCCAGAAUUUUUUGCAUGGCUUCAGUCUGGUUUUUGUUCGUCUGGAUUGGGGUGGUUGUAUAGUUACUUGCGUAGUUUAAAGCUGUGAUGUUGGGGUUGAAGGGUAUCUAAUCAAAGUCGUGUGUUUGAAUUGGAAAUUUGAGUUAGGAAACAAAAAAAAAUGCAGCAGGCUUCACUUUUGGCUGCUGAAUUUUUUCGAGUGUUUGAAUUACUUAGUUUGCUGGUUAUUUGGAAUAUUUUGAGAGGUGUUUAACGUGGUUUUGAGUGAAGUUGAUUUGAAGUUUUAAAUGAACUUGGUUUUGCCGAAAGUUUACAUGCAAGGAUAGAAAGUCAUGGCUGAAAAUUGCAGAAGCCAAAUCCGCAAGUCUGUUGAAAGGUUCAAGCAGUUUGCAUGUUUUUCCAUGCUCAUGGUUCAUUGUACCAUGGCAUUUAUGUGUGUUUUGAAGUAAUGAUUUUGUUAGGUGAAAGGUUUGGUUAAAGAUGAGGUGCUAAAGUCCAAAGUUUGUGUUUGAAAAUGCAGCAAAUUAGUACAGAAGCCUAAGCUGCCACAAUUUUUCUGUGAUGUUUUCUUCUCUGUGUUUGAUUUGUUGAGUUUUCCUACUUAACCUGCAUGCCUAAUCUUAUGUUUGAAUGGAAGAAAAGAAGGUUUGGUGUUGAGUUUGCAUUCUUUGAAUCACAGGAAAUGUAAACUAGCUUGAAUGUUGGCCAAGUAAAAUAGAUUUCCCUAAAAAUUCUGAAUGGUGGGUGAGUUGUCUUGAACCAAUCUGAAUCAUGAGUUGGUUUCUCAUUCCAGAUUUCUCUUUGUUUUUUUUUAUGCAUAAAAGGUGUUUUUAAGAAUGAGUUUGCAACCUUUAGCGAGUGCUAGGAAGCUGGAUUUUCUUCUUGGUUAAAAUCUUUUCUCUUGCCGCAUAAGGCUGCUGAAGUUCCAAAGUCUCGGCUGACUCUCUUUGGCUGCAGAAAUGUUUCCUAAGCUUUGCAUGAAGUCACCUGAACUGUUCAGAUUUUGCAUGUCUGUUGGCUGACCUUUGGUGUUAAAUUUAUAAGUUUCAUGAUGCAAAAUGAGUGGAAUGUAUGGUAGUUUUUUUUGUUUGGAUUUAAUUGAGUUUGAAAGCUGUUAAUGCCGAAUUGAGGGAAGCUUUCAUCAGAAUUCUUGUUGCAGGCAAUGUUUACGUAGCUUUGCAUGGUUUUGCAUGAAACUAUUUUUGAAAAUUUCACUUUAACCCCCCAAGUCUCCCCUUGUUCUACUAUGACCCACAAAUUUGAGAAAGCUAAUCAAUUGGGUCCCUGUGAUUUUUGUAGCAAUGCAUUAUGGCCCAAUUACAUUCCAAUGUCUUGCAAUUAGGUUCUAAGGUGUUUGCAUUUGAAUCAUUAAUUGAUCUUUAUUAUUUUUGGGACCUUUGAAGCUCUUUGAUGAUUCAUUUUGACGUUGAUUGUGAUUGAUUAGUGGUCGUUAUUGGGUCCUAGAAAUGCAAGUUUAAACCAUUCAUGGACUUUCAUUCACUCUUGGAUUCUUGAGAUAUGAUGUUUGCUUGGAUUUUAAUUUUUACUUGGGGACCUUUGAGUUUUUAAAUGCUUCAAUUAGGUUCAAAUGAUUUGAGUAGUGCUUGCAUUUGGGUUUUUAGUAGAUGUUAUGCUUGGGGAUUGGAUGAUCAUGCUUUUUGCCUUGGUCUUUAAGUAGUUUUGACUUCAUUGAGUUGCAAUUGAGGGAAAGUUUGAUGUUUGGUGGAUUCAAAUUGUUUAGUUUAUAUCUUAUCAUUAAAUUGGUGCAUUAAUCUUUUGUUUUUGGUGAUUUUAGCCUAAAUUAGUCUUUUCUUGGGUGACUCUAGCCAAGUUGAGUUUGUUUACUUCCUUAGUAUCACCAACGGGGCGGUAUAAUCUCUUUUACCCCUUUUGUUUCUCUCCUAUGUGGACUAAUGUGCUAAUUGAAAUUUGCAUGUCUACUUGCUUUCCUAGCCUCUCCUUAUUUCCUUUCAGUUAUUUCAUUUACUUUUGAUUUUUAUUAAUGGGGUAUGUGUACACCUCUUGGCUUGUAAUAGAUAGGGCGUAGCAAGUAAUUUGGUCCAUUUUUCCUUUCCCUUUUGUUUUAGUUAGCAAAUGUAAUGGUUGCAUGCCUAUGUGUUAUAUGUUAAAUGCUUUAUUAGGAUUUUGCAUCUAGUCAAGCAUGCUAAGUGUUAUGUGCUACGUGUUUAUAAGUGAUUCGCAUGUCUACUCGCUUUUUAUAGUGUGGAUGAAUGGAAUGGAUGAAUGUACGUCACCACACUAGUCCAACGCUAGUUGUGGCUUCUUUUAUCGUUUCCACUAGUCCAACGCUAGUCGGAAUUCAUAGGAGGGGCUAGUCCAAUGCUAGACCCAAUAGGUUUUUUUUUCCUUUUUCAUGAAGUGCAUGAUCACCACAUAUCACGCAUUUUUCCUUAGUUUAUCAUUUGGUAUGUUCCUCAAACCCCUUCCCCUUCACUUUAGGACUUGCAUCUCAUGCUAGUUAGGGUUCAUUUGCGUGAAAAUCCCCUCUUGAUAAGGGAAACGAGCGAGUGUGGCUACUCGAUAGCCUUAGCACGCUAGUUUCGCCUUCUAAUCAAAGGGAAAAUCGAAGUCGAAAAGUUAGGAGUCAACCCCCGUACCCGACUUGUUGCAUUCCUCUAGGGUCAUACUUUCAUUUUUAUCACCUACAUACUCUUUUAACCACAUUUUUUCACAUUUCUCAAAACCAUCCUUUCUCACUACAUUUUUCCUAUCACGUGCUCAUUUUCACCUCACAAAUGGAAUUCCACUUUACCUUAUAUAUCUAUUAUUCUAUUUUCACACACUUGCACACAAGAAACACUCAAAUUUUAUACAAUUUCACACAUGCACCUUUUUAUACAUUCGAACACUUGCACUUACAUUUCUUGCAUCUUUCAUACACUUUCACACUUGCACACUUGAAUUUGAACUCUCACUUGGAUUAAUCGACCUCUAUGAGGUUUUCCUUUGUUGGCCGCCACAAUUCAUGUGGUUUUGGACCAAAAGCCUCACAAGAGACAUCGUAGAAUUUAGGAUUGCAUUUUCCUUUCCGUUUUGCAUUCAUAUAGUCAUAUCCAACGUGCGAUACAUACAUUGGGUAGAAGAUUAGGAAAGGUAAGGUUAAGUCGCGCAACUAGCCUUGGCUAGGUCAAAGGGGUGCCUUGGAUUCUAUCCUUGCCUUCCCCUUUGUCAAACGUGACUCCCGAACCUUUUUCUUUGGCUUACGUGGACUAGGAGUCGUUUUAAAAGGGUUUUACUACUUUGUCUUUAAAAAUUUAUUUUUCAGGUGACUUGGUACACCUUAAUCAUUACCAAGUGGCGACUCCAAUUUCUCAUUCAAAAACCCUUUUUAAAACACUAUUUUGGGUCAAAUCGUCGCUUUUUCAAGUCCCAUAUUAGACCCCAUAUCUUUUUCAACUCACAAAAAUCAUUUUCCAAUCACAAUUGAAUCAAACACAUCUUUCUCAAACCAUUUUUAUUUAUUUAUUUUUCUUAUCAAAAAAUGGGGCGCGACAGUAAGGGUGACCUCCACUCUACUGGAACGUAUAAAAGAGGCGCAAGGCAAGGAUUUGAUGGUACAGAAGUGGAGAGAGAAAGUGGAAAAGGGAGAAACAACGGACUUCAAUCUGAGUCCUGAGGGUAUGUUGCAAUAUCGAGAUCGAAUAGUGGUACCAAAGGAGGAAUCGUUGAAAGCAGAAAUUUUGGAGGAAGCUCAUAGGUCCAAGUAUACAAUCCAUCCGGGCAGCAGCAAGAUGUAUCAAGACCUAAAAGGAACCUAUUGGUGGGACAACAUGAAGAGGGAAAUCGUUCAAUACGUGCAGAAAUGUCUCAUUUGCAGCAAGUGAAGGCAGAGCAUCAAAAACCAUCGGUUGUUACAACCCUUGGAGAUACCCGAGUGGAAGUGGGAAAACAUCACCAUGGACUUCGUUUCAAGUUUACCGAGGACGCAAAGAGGAAACGAUGCCGUUUGGGUGAUCGUUGAUCGAUUAACCAAGUCGGCCCAUUUCUUGCCGGUAAACAUGAAGUAUUCAAUGGACAAAUUGACCCGAUUGUACAUGGAUGAAAUUGUAAGGCUACACGGAGUGCCUGUGAGCAUCGUCUCUGAUCGGAGAUCCACGAUUUGUAUCACGGUUUUGGCAGAAGUUUCAAGAAACCCUGGGACGAAAACUCAAUUUGAGCACUACCUAUCACCCUCAGACGGAUGGCCAGUCGGAACGGACGAUUCAGACUCUUGAGGAUAUGCUACGAACCUGUAUUCUGGACUUUAGAGGCAAUUGGGGUCAGCACAUGACCUUGGUAGAAUUUGCGUACAACAAUAGCUUCCAUUCGUCAAUUCAAAUGGCUCCGUAUGAAGCUCUCUACGGACGCAAGUGCCGCUCACCGAUUUAUUGGGAUGAAGUAGGUGAAAAGAAAGCACUGAAUCCGCAACCAUUCCAUGGAUGGAAGAGGCUCAGGAAAAGGUCAAGUUGAUACGACAACGACUUCAAACCGCCCAAAGUCGUCAAAAGAGCUACGCGGAUAACCGAAGAAAAGAUUUGGAAUUUGAAGUUGGAGAUUAUGUAUUUCUCAAAAUCACACACCUUACGAAGUCUUACAACGGGCAAAGAAAGAAACUUCAACCGCGGUACGUCGGACCCUAUAAGAUCCUUCAAAGGGUUGGAGUGGUCGCGUAUCGAUUGGAACUACCAUCCAGUCUAUCUCGAAUCCACGACGUAUUUCACGUCUCGAUGCUAAAGAAGUACCAUCCUGACCCAUCUCAUGUUUUACAACCGGAGGAUAUCGAAGUAGAUGAAUCACUGGCCUAUGAAGAGAAACCGGUUCAAGUACUCGAUCGAAAAAUCAAAGAGCUCCGAAACAAACGGAUUCCACUAGUGAAGGUGCUAUGGAGAAACCACGGAGUUGAGGAAGCCACCUGGGAGAUGGAAGAGGAAAUGCGAAAGAAAUACCCAAACCUUUUCGGGAAUUAAGGUGAGAAAUUUCGAGGACGAAAUUCUUUUAAGGGGGGGAGAGUGUGAGAACCCGUAAAACCCUAAUUAUUUUUCUAGGGUUUAUUUCCCUUAAUUGCAUGUUUUCUGCAUUUUCUGGCUUAGAGAUAUUUUCUUAGUGGAUUUUAUGAGCAAUUAUAGUUUUAAGAUGAUUUUUCUAGCAUUGGGGAAAUUUUAGGAAAUUAAGAGUAAAUAGUGGACGUGGGACCCACUAGUGCGAAAAGUUCGGAAAAAUUCGGCCGAUAAGGUUAAGUUUCGGAUACUGUUUAAAAUUUAUCGGGUGUUAAGAGAUAAGUAGUGUGUGUGAAGUGAUUGAUGUGAGAGAGAAAAGAAAGAUAAGAAUGCAUUUAUGAAGGUGACAAGUGUCACCUUCUUAUUGGAUGCCUUUUAAGAAUUACUAUUCACAAUUUUGACUUUUUUGACCAAAGGUUAAAUAUCCAAAAAUUGCACAAAAUUCACCAUUUUUUCCUCCUUAUGGCCGGCCCUCUCUAAGCAAGAAGAAAGACAAAACUCUUCAACAUUCUAGCAAACUUCUAGCUCAAAUCAACUAAAUCACUUGCUUAACUUGGUUUUCACUCCAUUAAAUUUUUCCUUCUAGUGCUAGUAAGUUGUUUGGUGAACUUUGUUUGAAGGACUAAGGUGCACAACAUCUUUCUCUCUUUUGGUUUGUGGUAAGUGAAGCUUGAAACAUCCUACUACACCUAAUGAUGCUUAUUGUAGACACCAAAUUUUAAAUAAUUUUGUAUGUUGCAUCUAAUUCAUGAUUUUUGUUGCAGAUUGUCUGCAUUCUAGUUCGUUAUUGUUUGUUUCUCAUUUUUAGUGGUUAUUUUAUUUUAGUUCAUUUUUGGCCCUUUUAGUUGAUCUAUUUCAUUUGUCAUUUAUUCUUGUUUGUCUUUUUAGUUUUAUUUACUUUUAGUUUUAGUUUUAGUUUUAGUUUUUAAAUUUUAAGAUUAGCAUAGAGUUGCUAGAGAAAAAAGGAAAACAUUCAAAAAAUAUAUGUUUUAGUCAUUUUUGUUUUUAUUUAAUGCUUUCUUGAUAAAAAAAAAGAUUAUGAAAAUCAUGAAAAAAAAAGAAAAAAACAGGCAAAAACAUUCAAAAAAUAGGUUUUUUUUUUUGGGAAAAACAAUGGAAAAGAAAGAAAAAGAAAGAAAAAGAAAUUUGCUCACAAAGUAUGUUUAUUUCUUUUAAAUUCAACUUUUUGGCAUUUUAUUUUAUUAAGUUAUUUGAAAAAAGUGAAAAAAUGAGAAAAAUGAAAAAAAUGGAAAGUUGCGUUUUUGUUGUUUCUAGUUUAUUUUUCUAAUGUUAAUUAAGUUGUUUUUGUUAUUAAUUAUUAUUGUUAUCAUUUUUUGUUGUUUAAUUAAUUAAUUUUUUUCAAAAAAAAAUAAAUAAAUAAAUUUACCGCAGCAUGCACGCUGCAAUUUUUUGCAGCGUGCAAGGCACAACCUCAAUAGACAUCGGAUGGCUGGAUGGAAAGGGAAGGACAAGCCUUCAUCCUCACCAUUGGGGUGAGGGUUUAGGAACCUUGGAGUUCCAUAUAAAAGGGAAGAGAAGGCUCAGCCGUGAAGGGAGAGGAAGAAAAUUUGGAGCUGACGGCUAAGAGAAAAC